AUAAAUGUAUUAUAUAUAUAUAUAUAUAUAUAAAAUAUUGUGGUGAUGAAUUAAAAAAAAAUUAAUUAAUUACUUAAAUUUGUUUGAAAAAUAAUUAUUUUAUUUAUAUAUUUAAAAAGAAAUAUGUUAGAGUGAAAGUAAAAAAAAAAUAAUAAAAUUAAAAUUUUUAAAUAAAGAUUAUUAAUUUUUUUAAAUUUAAAAUUUAAAAAAUUAAAUAAAAAAAAUAGGGUGGGGCGAUACUAUAAAUAUUUUAUAUAUUUAGGAUAAUAAUAAAAUAUUUUAUUAAAAAAAAAAUAAAAAAAAUAAAUUAAAGUUUAAUUCUGACUUAUAAAUUUAUUAUAAAUUUUAUUUAAUAUAUAAAAAUUUAUAAUAUAAAUAUUUUUAAAUAGAAUAUUUUUUUUUGUUGUAGUAUGUAUAUUUAAUUAAAAAUAAAAGUAAAUUUUGUUUUAGAAUAUAUUUAUUAAAGAUAGAAACAAUUUGUGCCAGCAUUCGCGGUUAGACAAAUAGAUUUAAAUAAAUUAGGUAAAUAAAAUAAUUAUUAAAUUUUAUAUUUAUUAAAUUUUAAUUAAAUAAACUUAAAUUAAGGUGAAAUUUUAUUAAUUUUUAAAUUAAAAUUUAAUUAAAAUUAAUAAUAAUUUAUGAAAAUUAUCAAAUAAACUAGGAUUAGAUACCCUAUUAUUAAAUAUUGUAAAAUUAAUAAAUACAUAAUUUGUUUAUUAUAAAAUAUAAAAUAAUAAAUUAUUUAUAUAAUUGAAUUUAUAUAUAUAUAUAUAUAUAAUGUUUAAAAUAAUUAGGUAGUAAUAGAUAUGAUCUUGAAACUUUAAGAAUUUGACGGUAAUUUAUUCAAUUUAGAGGAACUUGUUUUUUAAUUGAUAAUCCACGAUAAGAUUUACCUGUUUUAUUUAUAUUUGUAUAUCGUCGUUUAAAAAAAAUUUUUUAAGAAUUAGAUAAUUUUUUAAAUAUUAAAAUAAAUUAUAUUUAAUAUAAAUUCAGAUCAAGGUGCAGUUUAUGAACAGGUUUAAAUGAGUUACAAUAAAAUUAUUUAUUUAAAAUGGAUUUGGAAUUUUAAUGUUUCAAUAAAGGUGGAUUUAAAAGUAAAUUUAAAUAAUUUUUUAAGUUGAAAAUUGUUUUGAAUUAUGUACAUAUCGCCCGUCACUCUCAUUAUAAGAUGAGAUAAGUCGUAACAAAGUAAAAGUACUGGAAAGUGUUUUUAGAAAAAAAAAUUUUUUUUUA
rnacentral:ncRNA from 1 species